GAAAAGUUAGUUACUAAUUAUAUAUACAGAAUUAAUUAAAGAUGACUGUGUGAUUAUAAGCUUAGCAAAUUGGAAGGGUGGUGGUAGAAGUAGCAGAAAUAAGGGAGAAAGGAAUAGGAACUGGUUUGAAAAAGAUAGUGAUUUCUGUUUUCCCAAAUAUGACACCCGGGUGGGAACACCCAAGAGCUGGUUGGGAAUGUGGAACUGCAGCUGCAGAGAGGUGAGCGCUACCACAAAUAUGUGCAGAUGGGCACAGAGAGGGGAGUGGAGGCAGGAGAGUGCAGGAGCUAUGUGGAAGGACAGCGUGGAGCAGGGGAAGACUAGAAGUCUGGGGACACUCCCAGAAAAUUUAUAACUUGGGAGCGGGCUGUUUGGGAAAGAGCGAUUAGAGGUCAUCUGGCAUGGUGACAAUUGAGCUGAGCCAGCCAUCUCAAAAGGCCAGCCAUUCCUCAAAAGGAAGAGGGUUCCAGGCUUAGGAACAGCAGCUGCAGAGGCCUUGAGAUGGGAAAGACCGUGAUGUGUUCUGGGAACAGUUUAGGGUGGCAAGAAUUGGUAAGGGAGGAGGAAGGUAUAGAAGCAGAGAGAUGAGCUAGAAGGUUCUUUCAGUAGAUCAGGUGGCGUGUGUUGGUGACUUGGGCUAGGAUAAUGACCAUGGAGUGGGUGGAUUUAAGGUAGUAAGAUCAGGGCUUGAUAGAAACCAAGGUGCUCAGGAAUCUUACCCAUGACAAAAUCAUUGGCCCUUGAAAUUUCAGAGUGGGAAGUGGUGUUAGGGAUUGCCUGGGAGAACUCUUGACCAAUUACUCUGUUUCCCACUCUGCUCUGUACAAAUAUCUUAGCAUAUAGCAAUAAUUAUCUUUCAAAUUUGUGUGGUCCUUCAAAGCUUCCAAUGUGUGUUCAUACUUAGUGUUCUCUUCAAGGACAUAGCCUCAUCCUCCCUUUAUCUCAGCUCAUUGCCCUGGUGCUCUGCCCCAGCUAAUUUGGUCCUAUCUUAAUACUCAGGUGCAGGGAAUGGUGGUUCUUUUGUUGCAAAGCAGGACUUAGGGAAGGGUAGGGGCCUCAGAUGGUGGGACAGAAGCUGAGGGAAGUGACUCCUCCCAGAGACUGACUCUGGGUGCACAGUUGGCCAUCUUGUCUUCAGGGCAAGGCCAGCACAGCUGCUUCCUCUUCUUGGAAGCUCCUUCCCACAUCCCACCCUGUUGAAAUCAGACGCAGCAUUCACGUCCAUGCUAUAUUGUCUGCUCUUCCAUGCAGUUUCCCUGCUUCCCUUACCUGAUGUCAUCUCGCAUUCUUUUGAACUCUCACUUUUGUAUUGCUCUUUGGGCAUUUAUCUCAGCCCAAUGUGUUAUAAUUAUUCCUGACUUUUCCUGAGGUAUCAUGUCUUUUCCGCUUCCUUAUGCCCUACAGCCCUUACUGCAUAUAGCUCGUGCAUAUAGCGUGGGCCUAGUGAAGGUUGUUGAAUUGAAUUGAACCCAUUCAAGUUCAAAUACCUGUGUCAGACAUGGUAGGUACACAGAAAAGUUAGAAGGGAGCUGAUUCCCCUGUGAAUGUUUAUUUUUAAUUUUUUUUAAUUAAAAAAUAUUUUUAUUGUUGG
ensembl:lncRNA